rnacentral:lncRNA from 1 species
GUCCCAUAGUAAAAUAAGGUGAAACUGCACUUUGAUGAAGCUGCAAAGACUCUGAGUAUAUUUGAGGAAUAGCUUGAAUAUUUAAUAACUCUAAAUGGCAUUAGAGAGGUGUGGGUUUCUUUAAAGCUAUUUUCCCCUUCCCAGAGCAUAACCAAAAACACUUAAAUGAAAACAUCUUAGUUUUAUAUUAGCAUUUUCAAGACCAUAGACAUUUACACAGUAGAUAAGUGAGAAUUCACAGCAGGUUUGAAAUGCCUGUUUCUAAACACAAUGGAAAAGGGUGUGAGCAGCCAAAAAAUCAUAAAAUAUAUACAUCUCUGCUCUCUCAAGACAGCACACAUCUUCAUGGAGAGAGAACAAACAAUACAACAAACAUUUUCCAAGAAUGAAAAAGCAUUGUGAGUGAAGUAUGAAUGAAUGAAGAAGAAAAGUCAUAAAACAGAAAUAUUCAAUAUGUGCCAUGAUUAUUUUCUCACUUAAAUAUGGUCUUCAGAGAAACGACAUCUCAGAUCCUAUUUCAAGCCUUGCCUACUCACAUACAAGAGAGGCAGCUCACAGAGGAGCAAAGAUAUCUUUGAAGACUCAAUAUACUUGUUCAUUUAUGGCCACACUGGAUGAGAAGAAAAAGCUCC